AACGUAGGUGGCGAGCGUUGUCCGGAAUUAUUGGGCGUAAAGAGCUCGUAGGCGGUCUGUCGCGUCGGCUGUGAAAACCCGGAGCUCAACUCCGGGCCUGCAGUCGAUACGGGCAAACUGGAGUGUUGCAGGGGAGACUGGAAUUCCUGGUGUAGCGGUGAAAUGCGCAGAUAUCAGGAGGAACACCGGUGGCGAAGGCGGGUCUCUGGGCAGCAACUGACGCUGAGGAGCGAAAGCGUGGGGAGCGAACGGG
rnacentral:rRNA from 1 species